rnacentral:lncRNA from 1 species
UUCAAAUAUUUGAAGUCAAUUAUCAUAUUUCUUUUCUUAAAUUUAGGGUUUGGAGAGCCAGUCAAAAAAAUACAUUGUGAGUCUCUUCUGAAUGAGUGGUAAUGAAAGUAGGCUGAGUCCUAGUGCUCACUGAUUCUUCCUCAUCUGAAUGGUGGCAGUUAUUUUUAUGAUGCAUGCUAGAAUCUUGCCUUAAAUCAAAGUCAAGACAACUGAUCUAUUGCUUGGAGAAUCUGUCAUCUCUGGUCUACCUAGUGAAGAGUUCUAAAGGUCUGCCAUCUAUGGGCUCCUUCCUGCCAAGUCCUUGAACCCAUGAAAGCGUGGCUGGCAGGGUAUUCGCUGUGUGCUACAAUCUAUCCUCUGUUGGGGAGUUCACAUGAAUUCAACUUAAAGAAAACCCACUUAUUGGAAUAUUUGGAAAACAUGGAAAAGUGUAAAAAUGAAAAUAAAAAUUACCUAUAAUUGGAUAAAUCAGAGAUAAAUGCAGACAAC